GUACCACAUGCAGGCUCGCGAAAAUGUUCUGAUUGGCAUUGAUAGAAUAAAUUGUCACCGGGGCCUUUUCGACGAGCUUUCCGUGGUUU
rnacentral:pre_miRNA from 1 species